rnacentral:rRNA from 1 species
UACGAGAGGCCCAAACGUUAUUCGGAAUUACUGGGCUUAAAGAGUUCGUAGGCGGCGCAGAAAGUAGGGUGUGAAAGCCCUCGGCUCAACCGAGGAAUUGCGCUCUAAACUACUGUGCUUGAGGAACCUAGAGGUGAGCAGAACAGAUGGUGGAGCGGUGAAAUGCGUUGAUAUCAUCUGGAAUACCGGAGGCGAAGGCGGCUCACUGGGGGUUUUCUGACGCUGAGGAACGAAAGCCAGGGUAGCGAACGGGAUUAGAAACCCCCGUAGUCC